rnacentral:rRNA from 1 species
GUAGGAAUACCCGCUGAACUUAAGCAUAUCAAUAAGCGGAGGAAAAGAAACCAACAGGGAUUGCCUUAGUAACGGCGAGUGAAGCGGCAACAGCUCAAAUUUGAAAUCUGGCUCCUUCGGGGUCCGAGUUGUAAUUUGCAGAGGAUGCUUCGAGUUAUGGUUCCUUCCGAGUUCCCUGGAACGGGACGCCAUAGAGGGUGAGAGCCCCGUCUGGUAGGAAACCAUGCUCAUGUGAAGCUCCCUCGACGAGUCGAGUAGUUUGGGAAUGCUGCUCUAAGGGGAGGUAUACUCCUUCCAAGGCUAAAUACCGGCUAGAGACCGAUAGCGCACAAGUAGAGUGAUCGAAAGAUGAAAAGUACUUUGAAAAGAGAGUCAAACAGCACGUGAAA